AGCCACGCGAGUCUUUGUAGUAAUACAAGGCAGACGGCUCAGUAACACGUAGUCAACCUACCCUAUGGACAAGAAUAAUCUCGGGAAACUGGGCAUAAUUCUUGAUAGAUCAUAAUGCCUGGAAUGGUUUAUGGUUAAAAUGAUUCGUCGCCAUAGGAUGGGACUGCGGCCUAUCAGCUUGUUGGUGAGGUAAUGGCCCACCAAGGCGAUUACAGGUACGGGCUCUGAGAGGAGAAGCCCGGAGAUGGGUACUGAGACACGGACCCAGGCCCUAUGGGGCGCAGCAGGCGAGAAAACUUUGCAAUGUGCGAAAGCACGACAAGGUUAAUCCGAGUGAUUUCUGCUAAAGAAGUCUUUUGCCAGUCGUAAAACCGCUGGUGAAUAAGGGGUGGGCAAGUUCUGGUGUCAGCCGCCGCGGUCAAACCAGCACCUCAAGUGGUCAGGAUGAUUAUUGGGCCUAAAGCAUCCGUAGCCGGCUUUGUAAGUUUUCGGUUAAAUCCAUGUGCUCAACGCAUGGGCUGCCGAAAAUACUGCAUGGCUAGGGAGUGGGAGAGGUAGACGGUACUCAGUAGGUAGGGGUAAAAUCCUUUGAUCUAUUGAUGACCACCUGUGGCGAAGGCGGUCUACCAGAACACGUUCGACGGUGAGGGAUGAAAGCUGGGGGAGCAAACCGGAUUAGAUACCCGGGUAGUCCCAGCUGUAAACGAUGCAGACUAGAUGAUGCAUUGGCAUAAUAGCCACUGCAGUGUCUCAGGGAAGCCGUUAAGUCUGCCGCCUGGGAAGUACGUACGCAAGUAUGAAACUUAAAGGAAUUGGCGGGGGAGCACCACAAGGGGUGAAGCCUGCGGUUCAAU
rnacentral:rRNA from 1 species